rnacentral:rRNA from 1 species
GAUGAACGCUGGCGGCGCGCCUAACACAUGCAAGUCGAACGAUUAAAGCACCUUCGGGUGUGUAUAAAGUGGCGAACGGCUGAGUAACACGUGGGCAACCUGCCCCUCUCAUUGGGAUAGCCACGGGAAACCGUGGAUAAUACCGAAUACUUCGGGACUUCCGCAUGGAAGACUCGAGCAAGCUCCGGCGGAGAGGGAUGGGCCCGCGGCCUGUUAGCUUGUUGGUGGGGUAAUGGCCUACCAAGGCAAUGAUGGGUAGCUGGGUUGAGAGACCGACCAGCCAGAUUGGGACUGAGACACGGCCCAGACUCCUACGGGAGGCAGCAGUGGGGAAUCUUGCACAAUGGGCGAAAGCCUGAUGCAGCGACGCCGCGUGCGGGAUGAAGGCCUUCGGGUUGUAAACCGCUUUCAGCAGGGACGAGGCGAAAGUGACGGUACCUGCAGAAGAAGCCCCGGCUAACUACGUG